rnacentral:rRNA from 1 species
AGCAGCCGCGGUAAUUCCAGCUCCAAUAGCGUAUAUUAAAGUUGUUGCAGUUAAAAAGCUCGUAGUUGAACUUCGGAAUUUAUUCAUUGGUCAGACUUAACUGUCUGUACUGGUGUUAUGAAUUCCUACCUUCUGAGGAAUUAUCAUGCCAUUUAGUUGGUGUGGUAGGGAAUCAGGACUGUUACUUUGAAAAAAUUAGAGUGUUUAAAGCAGGCUAACGUCUGAAUACAUUAGCAUGGAAUAAUAGAAUAGGACGGAUUGGUUCUAUUUUGUUGGUUUCUAGGAUCACCGUAAUGAUUAAUAGGGAUAGUUGGGGGCAUUAGUAUUCAAUUGUCAGAGGUGAAAUUCUUGGAUUUAUUGAAGACUAAACUACU